UUUAAACACAGCUCUAGUGACUUUCUUCCUGACAACCACUAGAAAUGCUUCCGUGGGACUGACCGAGUAAAACGUGAUUCAAUGCUUUAUUAUGGAGCUGUGCAUAAGCAUCAGGUCCCCAAUGAACCUCUGAGAGCUCCUUUGGACUAUGAUUCCUCUGAUGGGCAAUAAAAGGAUCGUGACAGUAGCCCACCAACAUAGAUUGCUU